UUCUUCUAUUUUUUUUUUUUUUUUGCAUAUUAAUUUUUUCCGUUGGUGAAACUUCGGUAAUGUAUGGGACAAACAUUGUUCGAACGCUGGCUAGAAUUAUUAUUGCUUGUUUAUGUUAGGUCGCUAAUAAAUAUGAAAUAUUAAAAAGUAAGAUAUUGACAUUGACAAAUGGAGAGAAAAUUGGUUUGAGGCUUGACUAAAUUUUAUCUACAAUUCCUAUCAAGCAAUUAGUAUUAUUUUCCUCGAUACACCACGGCGGAGUCGAGUAUUUAUUUUAUCUACGUGUGUCAAAAAUGUCGGAAAAAUGUCGGAAAAGUUGCGGAAUUCGACGUGAAGAGGGGAUCGUGGUCAUUAUGCAUAGAACGCCUGGAAAUUAAUGAAUUUUAAGGUGAGGGUAAUAUCAACGACGGACUAAAAUUACCUUCUUUAAUAGCGGUCAUGGGAGACGAGGCGUAUGAACCAUUAAAAAAAUUAUCAAGCGCCAAAACACUAGCUGAGAUGGAAUAUUCGGUGACGGUAUCGAUAGUGAAAAAUCAUCUACAACCGAGAGCGUUGCCGGUUUAGGCAAAGACGUAAGUCAGGCUAUCGGCGAGAACGUUGCGAGUUAUAUAGAUGAACUGAAGGGGUUGGCGCGUCACACGAUAGCAAAAAUACCAUUAUUUCAGAAGAAUAUAUAAAUAAUGAACUAAGACGGUCGAUAGAAGUAAACGAAGAGGCAUUAAAAUUCUGCGAUUAAUCAAGUUUUAGACACAACUUUAUCCAUUAGAAAAUCGACAUAAAACCAACAACUCUCCAAAGUCAUUUUACAAGAAUAUAUAAAAAGGCUGGGAAAACGGGGAAAAU